GAAUACAUUUUCAUCUUUAACGCCGCUAUAGAUAUCCACAAGAAGUAGAUUAUGAUCUUCAAUCUAAGUGUGUAGACAUUACUCUAUAAUAUGGACAAUAAAUAAUUUAAUUCUCAAUUUAAGGUGAUAAUCUCGCAAAACAUAAAUUAAAGCAGCACAAGUAUCUAUAAUAACUGAAAUAUUUCUCAAAAUCAUCUUAUAACGAAGAAUUUCAAAUUUUAAAUUAUCGUUGGUUUGUAAGAAUAUGAAAAGUGGAUAUUUUUGUCUUCAUUGAGAAAGGUGAUAAUCUCGAAGAACAUAAAAUAAAGCAGCGCAAGUAUCCUUAAUAACUAAAUUCUCAAAAUAUCAAAAUCGUCUCAUAAGGGAGAAUUUCAAAUUUUGAAAUAUUGGUGGGAAUGUAAUAAUAUGGAAAAUUGAUAUUAUAAGUUUGAAUCGAAUGAAGUUAGUGACACUCGACGAAUCGUGACGUCACGUCGACGUUUUAUCUCGGCGUCGCCGUCUGACGGCGAAUAGACGGAAACGUUCAGUCGGGCCGAAGGCGUGUUACGAAUGCGUUCGUCGCGA